GGGUUUAGACAAGUGCUGGUGGUUUUCUAAUCCCCCUUUCCUUCUGCUCGUCAAAUCUGCUCUACGGUCAGCUGAAGGUGGACCAUUGUCGUUUCUUCUCGCUAGAACUUCAAUGGCGGGUCGACUGUUCUCGAAAUCAAAGUUCCGAUUUUUCGUCUCUUCUCUCCUCCGAAACGUCAGCCCAUCUGCUCUUCAGGAAUCUUCCCUGCUUCUGAAGCCACGAGCUCAAUUCUUGGAGCAAUGUCCGGCCGAAGGCGUUCCUUGGGCGAGGCGGUUCCAUGACGGGAGGCCGAGGGGGCCCCUUUGGAGAGGCAAGAAGCUCAUCGGGAAGGAGGCGCUUUUCGCAAUCUCGGGAUUGAAGCGGUUCAAAGACGACGGAGAGAAGCUCGAGAAGUUCAUCAAGACCCACGUCUCGAGGCUCUUGAAGCUAGACAUGAUCGCCGUUCUCAGCGAGCUCGAGCGCCAGGAGGAGGUCUCUCUGGCUGUUAAGAUGUUUGGGGUCAUUCAGAAGCAAGACUGGUAUAAGCCUGAUGUGUUUCUUUAUAAGGACUUGAUUAUUGCAUUGGCAAGAUGUAAAAAGAUGGAUGAGGCCAUGCAAUUGUGGGAGACUAUGAGGAAGGAGGAGUUAUUCCCUGAUUCUCAAACGUACACUGAAGUCAUCAGGGGCUUUUUGAGGUAUGGAUCUCCAGCAGAUGCAAUGAAUAUAUAUGAGGACAUGAAGCUGUCUCCAGAUCCACCGGACGAGCUGCCAUUCAGGAUUAUGUUGAAGGGACUCAUACCUCAUCCCCUUUUGAGGAACAGAGUCAAGCAGGAUUUUGAGGAGCUCUUUCCAGAGCGGCAUGUUUAUGAUCCUCCUGAAGAGAUAUUUGGUGUUCGUUAAGGUGUGAACAUAAUGUGUCGGGCGAUGUGCAAUUAGCUACUCCUGGUCCUCUGAUUCAGAACGCUUCACUUAUGGCGUAGUUUCUUAAUCUACAUUAUAUGAGCAAGGGCUGUCAGCAUGUCGAUAUUCACUGCUGCAUUUUUGGGCAAGGUAGCAUUCGGUUAUUACAAGUGUUUCGGCAAGACUCUGGAUAAAAACAGAACAAAUUUACAGAGAACAGAACAGUGAAGCCAUUCGUGCCAGAUCUCCCAUGCUGCCUCUUUAUGUUUUGCAGAAAUUAUGAUGUAAAACUAGUGUUAUCAAGUCCGCCUUCGUUUGAACUUCCAACUAGUGGAGUCUCUAAUGAUUAGUGGAAAGGAACUUUUCUUGGUGGCUGCCUGAGCACUGAGGGUCGAUCUGGGAUGUGGUUGAUAUUGAUAAAAAUCGCAUUUGGCAUUA